GAAGAAGGUUCUGGUAACAGUUUCAGUUGCAACUUGAGGUUUAUGAAGGAAAAGGCACGGCAAUGACUCCUUUUCUAUGUCCCACCAAGUCAAAGUUCACAACUGACUGGCAAAACAAUCUGUGUGUUGGUUUGCACUCUGAAGGUAUUAAUAACUUGGGAGAUUCCUGUCAAGUCUCCAGAUCCAGAAGUCUCUAGCUUCUUAGAAACACUAACUGGAAGAAAAUCCAAGAGAUCCACAAGAAUUACUUUGCUUGCUACUUGGGACAUUCGGAAGGCAUCAAUGAAAGCCAUGUCAACAUAUUGUUGUCUUAAAAGUUUUUUCCAUUCUGUGUGUUGUCAUUAGCCUGAGUCCUGGAAUAGGAAGACAUGUGCAGCAGAGUGAUAACAGUCCAGCCACAGCCAUCGAUGCCUACACCACUAAAUCCAUCACUAACAAUUUUGGCAGAGGCUGUGGUUAAUCAGUAUCUGAACCUGGACCUCAGGGAUCUUCUUCUGCUCAGCCUGGGACCAGACCAAGAGGAUAUACGGCACAGUGCUUUUGACCAUCUUGACCAGAACCACAAAGAAUUGGAAAUUUCUCAGGAAUGGAUGUUCUCUACUGAUUUCCAAACCUUAGGUAUGUCCUUUUAGCUCUCAGAGAAGCAGACUGUCUGCCCUACAUGAUGGAACCUGGAAGUGUGAGCUCCUGGAGCCGUGGCAGCCAGCUUGCAACCAUGAGGUCAACCUUGUCUGUGAUUUGAACAAUAAUUUUCUACAACAAGCAGAAGGCAGAGCCAAGAGUCACAGAGAAAAACCAUGUCCUGAUGAUAUCAUUUGAGUCUGGUCAAGCUCUGACCGAAGCUAGAUUUAUUCCUGAACUUCUGGGUUAGGUGAGGCAAUAAAUUCUAUUUUGGUACAAACCAGUUUGGUUUGGAUUUUCAUUCACUUGUAAUCAAAAGAAGUGUAACCAUUACAACUCAGCUCUUUAAAAAUGUCCUGUUCUUUUUUCUCCAGACGGCAAAAAAUUUUGAAAUUACUUUUCUCUGAACAUUUUAUUGCAAAACUAUGCUGUAUUACAAAAUUUUAGGCAUUUGAAAUUUAAGAAGAAUGGUAUUUCCUUGGAAAUAAUUAAAUGACUAUCUAUGGAAAGUUAUAGUAUCCUCCAGUCUGUUUUAAAUUACGGUAUAAAGUUCACAGCUGUAUGUUCUUCAGUUACCAGCACUCAGAGAAGUCUGCUAUUUAGGCCAUUACAAACCUACAUUUACUUCUUUUUCUUUUCUUUUUUUUUUUUUUUGAGAUAGCCAGAAUGUUACUGAGCAAUUUCUUUACUGAAAAAUAAUUGAAGUUUGCUAUUUAUUUCUAGGUAAAAAUAUUUUUAAAAGUUGAACAGCUCUUGUUUUCAGAACUUAUUAUUUUAGUGGAGGAGGUGAACAUAGAAACCACUAAAUGUGCUAAAAUCAGUGCAUAUGUUGCCUUGAUCUUUACCUUUACAUUCUAAGCAUUGUUCAUUGGAAUGCCCUCGGAAACAAUGACCACACCGCUUGAAUAUUUGAAGGCAUUUUUUUCACACGAUGUAUGGUCAUCAUCCAAAAUCAGCUUGGAAAUGCUGUAUUAUACAUAAUCAGACUUUCAGAUGUAAGUAAAUACAGUGAUGCCCUCCUAACCUAGAGUUUCCCUCCCAUGCAGUUAUAACUUACGUGCGUUCGUUUUUUGAGCAACCACAGGAUGACCAGCACUUAGCUGUAGAAAGGGAAUGUAACUUUGUGGAGUUUUUUUCUUUUUGUUUUUUCCUCCUAGUGAAGAUCUGAAAGAGGAAGAAAAUUAAAAUAAUCACCCAAACUUCCCCUAACCCAAUUUUUAACAUACCAUCUAAGUUUGAGGAUAAAAAUACUAGCUUUUCUAAUGACCUCACAAGCUCAUCAGGAAGAACAAACAAAUAAUUUUAAUGAAAGUGGCUUGUACAUUUUCAAGAGCUGUACAAGGUUGGUCACACUUCCAAUUUAGGAUUCCUAGAAGCAAUGUGUGGUCACGGCCAGUUGGGCAGGCUACGCAUUGCAAAGGUGUCACAACAUAUCAUGUAGAUUUCUAUAUCUGUGUCAAUAGUUUUCUGGAAAACGACAAUAAAGAGAGUCUUCUGA